AGUGAACGUUGGCGGCGUGGAUUAGGCAUGCAAGUCGAGCGAGAACCGUAGCAAUACGGGGGCAGCGGCGAAAGGGACAGUAAUGUGUAGGUACCUACCCCCGGGUUCGGGAUAGCUACGGGAAACUGCAGGUAAUACCGAAUAAUGUCUCCGGACCAAAGGUGUGAUUCCACCUGGGGAGGGGCCUGCAUCCUAUUAGCUUGUUGGUGGGGUAACGGCUCACCAAGGCGACGAUGGGUAGCGGGUGUGAGAGCAUGACCCGCGUCAUUGGGACUGAGACACUGCCCAGACACCUACGGGUGGCUGCAGUCGAGAAUCUUCGGCAAUGGGCGCAAGCCUGACCGAGCGACGCCGCGUGCGGGAUGAAGGCCUUCGGGUUGUAAACCGCUGUCGUAGAGGAGGAAAUGCAGGGGGGUUCUCCCUUCUGUUUGACCUAUUCUAGGAGGAAGUACGGGCUAAGUUCGUGCCAGCAGCCGCCGUAACAC
rnacentral:rRNA from 1 species